GAUGAAGAACGUAGUGAAAUGCGAUACUUGGUGUGAAUUGCAGAAUCCCGUGAACCAUCGAGUCUUUGAACGCAAGUUGCGCCCGAAGCCAUCAGGUUGAGGGCACGUCUGCCUGGGCGUCACAUAUCGUUGCUCGAUGCCUAUCGCAUUGCGAUAGGACUUAGGGCGAAUGAUGGCUUCCCGUGAGCGUUGUUGCCUCGCGGUUGGUUGAAAAUCGAGUGCAUGGUGUCGGGUGUACCAUGAUGGAUGGUGGUUGAGUGAUGAUGCUCGAGACCAAUCAUGGGUAACUCCACCAGAAUUGGGCUCGGUGACCCACAUGCGUCCCUUGGAUGCUCCCUAAGGAGACCUCAGGUCAGGCGGGGCUACCCGCUGAGUUUAAGCAUAUCAAUAAGCGGAGG
rnacentral:misc_RNA from 1 species